rnacentral:sRNA from 1 species
GGCCAUGGUUAGCGACGCGGUGGUGUUUACCCACAUGUAGGCAUAUGCAUAUGCUGAUUUCCACCAAGGCGGGGGUCAUAGUCUUUUUU